AGAAGGUAAUAAUCCUGUAGUCGAAAAUGUUGUCUCUCUUGAGUGGAUCCUGAGUACGACGGAGCACGUGAAAUUCCGUCGGAAUCUGGGAGGACCAUCUCCUAAGGCUAAAUACUCUCUAGUGACCGAUAGUGAACCAGUACCGUGAGGGAAAGGUGAAAAGCACCCCGGAAGGGGAGUGAAAUAGAACCUGAAACCGUGUGCUUACAAGUAGUCAGAGCCCGUUAAUGGGUGAUGGCGUGCCUUUUGUAGAAUGAACCGGCGAGUUACGAUUUGAUGCAAGGUUAAGCAGUAAAUGUGGAGCCGUAGCGAAAGCGAGUCUGAAUAGGGCGUUUAGUAUUUGGUCGUAGACCCGAAACCAGGUGAUCUACCCUUGGUCAGGUUGAAGUUCAGGUAACACUGAAUGGAGGACCGAACCGACUUACGUUGAAAAGUGAGCGGAUGAACUGAGGGUAGCGGAGAAAUUCCAAUCGAACCUGGAGAUAGCUGGUUCUCUCCGAAAUAGCUUUAGGGCUAGCCUCAAGUGAUGAUUAUUGGAGGUAGAGCACUGUUUGGACGAGGGGCCCCUCUCGGGUUACCGAAUUCAGACAAACUCCGAAUGCCAAUUAAUUUAACUUGGGAGUCAGAACAUGGGUGAUAAGGUCCGUGUUCGAAAGGGAAACAGCCCAGACCACCAGCUAAGGUCCCAAAAUAUAUGUUAAGUGGAAAAGGAUGUGGCGUUGCCCAGACAACUAGGAUGUUGGCUUAGAAGCAGCCAUCAUUUAAAGAGUGCGUAAUAGCUCACUAGUCGAGUGACACUGCGCCGAAAAUGUACCGGGGCUAAACAUAUUACCGAAGCUGUGGAUUGUCCUUUGGACAAUGGUAGGAGAGCGUUCUAAGGGCGUUGAAGCAUGAUCGUAAGGACAUGUGGAGCGCUUAGAAGUGAGAAUGCCGGUGUGAGUAGCGAAAGACGGGUGAGAAUCCCGUCCACCGAUUGACUAAGGUUUCCAGAGGAAGGCUCGUCCGCUCUGGGUUAGUCGGGUCCUAAGCUGAGGCCGACAGGCGUAGGCGAUGGAUAACAGGUUGAUAUUCCUGUACCACCUAUAAUCGUUUUAAUCGAUGGGGGGACGCAGUAGGAUAGGCGAAGCGUGCGAUUGGAUUGCACGUCUAAGCAGUAAGGCUGAGUAUUAGGCAAAUCCGGUACUCGUUAAGGCUGAGCUGUGAUGGGGAGAAGACAUUGUGUCUUCGAGUCGUUGAUUUCACACUGCCGAGAAAAGCCUCUAGAUAGAAAAUAGGUGCCCGUACCGCAAACCGACACAGGUAGUCAAGAUGAGAAUUCUAAGGUGAGCGAGCGAACUCUCGUUAAGGAACUCGGCAAAAUGACCCCGUAACUUCGGGAGAAGGGGUGCUCUUUAGGGUUAACGCCCAGAAGAGCCGCAGUGAAUAGGCCCAAGCGACUGUUUAUCAAAAACACAGGUCUCUGCUAAACCGUAAGGUGAUGUAUAGGGGCUGACGCCUGCCCGGUGCUGGAAGGUUAAGAGGAGUGGUUAGCUUCUGCGAAGCUACGAAUCGAAGCCCCAGUAAACGGCGGCCGUAACUAUAACGGUCCUAAGGUAGCGAAAUUCCUUGUCGGGUAAGUUCCGACCCGCACGAAAGGCGUAACGAUUUGGGCACUGUCUCAACGAGAGACUCGGUGAAAUCAUAGUACCUGUGAAGAUGCAGGUUACCCGCGACAGGACGGAAAGACCCCGUGGAGCUUUACUGUAGCCUGAUAUUGAAAUUCGGCACAGCUUGUACAGGAUAGGUAGGAGCCUUUGAAACGUGAGCGCUAGCUUACGUGGAGGCGCUGGUGGGAUACUACCCUAGCUGUGUUGGCUUUCUAACCCGCACCACUUAUCGUGGUGGGAGACAGUGUCAGGCGGGCAGUUUGACUGGGGCGGUCGCCUCCUAAAAGGUAACGGAGGCGCUCAAAGGUUCCCUCAGAAUGGUUGGAAAUCAUUCAUAGAGUGUAAAGGCAUAAGGGAGCUUGACUGCGAGACCUACAAGUCGAGCAGGGUCGAAAGACGGACUUAGUGAUCCGGUGGUUCCGCAUGGAAGGGCCAUCGCUCAACGGAUAAAAGCUACCCCGGGGAUAACAGGCUUAUCUCCCCCAAGAGUUCACAUCGACGGGGAGGUUUGGCACCUCGAUGUCGGCUCAUCGCAUCCUGGGGCUGUAGUCGGUCCCAAGGGUUGGGCUGUUCGCCCAUUAAAGCGGUACGCGAGCUGGGUUCAGAACGUCGUGAGACAGUUCGGUCCCUAUCCGUCGUGGGCGUAGGAAAUUUGAGAGGAGCUGUCCUUAGUACGAGAGGACCGGGAUGGACAUACCUCUGGUGUACCAGUUGUCGU
rnacentral:rRNA from 1 species